CCAAUAUCCUUUGCAUAAAAUCUAGGGUAGUCAAGGAAUUCCCCCCAGCCAUACGAUCUAGUAACUCGUCUAUCCUGGGCAUGUGGUAGGCGUCGGUUACUGUCCUGUCAUUAAGCUUCCGGUAGUCGAUACAGAAGUGAAUCGUGCCAUCUCUCUUGGGUACCAGCACUACCGGCAAAGGCAAGGACUCUGAAGGGGUUCGAUGACUCCCAGCUUUAAAAUUUCCUGGAUCUCUGCCAACAUAUUCUCUCUAACUGCC